UGAGUUGUUUGGAUGGUGGGGGUUUGCUGGACUCUUAAAUGGAUUCAGCUCCCCUGAAAUGCAUUAGCAGAACAACCUGUUCAUUGGCGUGAUAAUUAUCUAUGCUAUUGAAUAUGAGGGCAGUUCAGCUUUCUAACUGUCCUUGGACAAUUUAUCAUUAAUGUGACCUCAAAUCAGGUAGGACUACCCGCUGAACUUAA
rnacentral:misc_RNA from 1 species